GUGCUACUGAGGAGUCUGAACUAUUUAUCCCCAGAACAGGUGCAGCACAGGCAGUGGCAAUGUGAGCUUCUUCACAACAACCCACCAGUGUGCUUCAGCCCUGACCUGCACGAAUGUAUAUAGCAGAUGCUUAAGUGCACUUUGGGACAAAU
rnacentral:sRNA from 1 species